GCGACCGGCGCACGGGAUGAGUAACGCGUACAGAACCUGCCUACGAGCGGGGAAUAACCCCGGGAAACUGGGAUUAAUGCCCCAUAAGACCAUAAUGCCGCCCUGGCAUACUGGAUAAAGCUUCGGCUCUCUUAGAUGGCUGUGCGUGCCAUUAAUAUUUGGCGGUGUGACUGACCACCAAAGGCUACGAUUGCUAGGGGGCAUGAUAGCGUGCUCCCCCACACAGGAUACAUGAGACACGGACCCAACUCCUACAGGAGGCAGACUUCUAGAAUAUUGAACAAUGAGGACAACCCUGAUCCGGCCAUCCCCCUUGCACGAUGACGGCCCUACAGUUAGUAAACUGCUUUUGCCAGGGAACAAACUAGCCCACUUGUAAGUUUUUGACUGUACCUACAGAAUAAUCAUCAGCUAACUCCCUGCCAACACCCCCGGUAAUACCGAGGCUGCAAGCGUUAUCCUAAAUCACUGGCUAUAAAGGUUGCGAAUGCUGCAUGGUAAAUCACGCGUGAAAGGCCUUCUCUUAACGAUGGAACUGCCUUUGAUA
rnacentral:rRNA from 1 species